rnacentral:rRNA from 1 species
GACGAACGCUGGCGGCGUGCUUAACACAUGCAAGUCGAACGGAAAGGCCCUGCUUUUGUGGGGUGCUCGAGUGACGAACGGGUGAGUAACACGGUAAUAACCUGCCCUUUACUGUGUGAUAACUUCAGGAAACUGGUGCUAAUACCUGAUAGGAUCUCCUGCUGCAUGGGUGGGGGUGGAAAGUUUCGGCGGUUGGGGGUGGACGCGCGGCUUAGCAGCUUGUUGGUGGGGGAGUGUCUUAGCAAGGCUGUGACGGGUAGUCGGCCUGAGCGGGUGGACGGACACACUGGGCCGGAGAUAGGGCCAAGCAUCAUACGGGAGGCAGGAGUGGGGAAUAGUGGACUAUGGGAGGAAGCCUGCUGCAGCAACGCAGCGUGCGGGAUGACGGACUUCUGGCUGUAGUCCGCUUUCGCCUGUGACGAAGCGUGAGUGCCGGUGAUGGGUAAAGAAGCACCGGCUAACUACGUG